UUGGAGAAGGCUGUCUUCUUUAUCCUCUCUUCCUCUUCUUCUACUAGUUCCUCUGUCAGUAAUAUCUCUUCCAUGGAAUUACAAUCUUUUAUCCUAAGUUUUUUAAGCUGCAAAAGACAUUUAACAAUUGAAGUUGUGAAUAAAUGCUUCAAAUUGUUGCAAUUUUUCACAGUCAAACUCGUUAAGUUUGAACAUGCGGCGGAAAGUUGGUCGUUGGAGAAGGCUGUCUUCUUUAUCCUCUC
rnacentral:misc_RNA from 1 species